CAGCAGUUAGCCCUUCUUUUCUAUACCCAGCAGCAAUCUCCCUUUCUCUUCAGUUUCUUUCUCUCUUUCUCUCUCUCUCUAAAAGGUCAUGGAGGAUUGUGACCUCUUUCUUCAAUGGCUGCUACCCCUGCUAUGGAUCCUGUGCUUUUAUGCUACCACGUGCUUUUUAAAGUUCCCGCCAUUUUUUCGGAGACCACGCCCACCCAAUGACUAGUCUAAUUAAUUGGAGGAACAAUGGAUGUGAUAGCAAGAGCUGAACUUCAAGGACAUGUUUUAAGUCGACAGGACUCGUACGUUCCCGUCAAACCAUUCAAGUCCGGAACGGUCAAAAUCUCAUGAAAGUUCAAAGGAUUCAUGGAAGAAUUCACUUGGAAAUAUCGUAGGAUGGAUUCUCAUGGAUUAAUCAGCGAGUCAAUAGUUGUAAUACUAGCUGGGCUGGCCGACCAGACCCAGCUAGUAACGCACUCAUACAAUCCUUGCAUGUCAUUAUAUGUAUGUCCUCAUUUGCAUGCGUAUAAUACCAUUAGGGAGGGGCUUGUUACACAAAACAUCGCGCGUAUGUUGUAAUGUAAAGGACCCUAUAGUGUAAGGACACUCCCCGUUCCUACCACCAUGCCUGAUAUGCUUGUUGUAGUAGUCCCGUCAUACACUAGGCAGUAUGUUUCUGGUAAUAUUUGUGAGGGAGAUGCUGUCAA